rnacentral:rRNA from 1 species
CCUACGGGAGGCAGCAGUGGGGAAUUUUGGACAAUGGGCGCAAGCCUGAUCCAGCAAUGCCGCGUGCAGGAUGAAGGCCUUCGGGUUGUAAACUGCUUUUGUACGGAACGAAACGGUGAGCUCUAAUACAGUUUGCUAAUGACGGUACCGUAAGAAUAAGCACCGGCUAACUACGUGCCAGCAGCCGCGGUAAUACGUAGGGUGCGAGCGUUAAUCGGAAUUACUGGGCGUAAAGCGUGCGCAGGCGGUGAUGUAAGACAGAUGUGAAAUCCCCGGGCUCAACCUGGGACCUGCAUUUGUGACUGCAUCGCUAGAGUACGGUAGAGGGGGAUGGAAUUCCGCGUGUAGCAGUGAAAUGCGUAGAUAUGCGGAGGAACACCGAUGGCGAAGGCAAUCCCCUGGACCUGUACUGACGCUCAUGCACGAAAGCGUGGGGAGCAAACAGGAUUAGAUACCCUGGUAGUCCACGCCCUAAACGAUGUCAACUGGUUGUUGGGUCUUCACUGACUCAGUAACGAAGCUAACGCGUGAAGUUGACCGCCUGGGGAGUACGGCCGCAAGGUUGAAACGUCAAAGGAAUUGACGG